rnacentral:rRNA from 1 species
GGGGGCAACCCUGACGCAGCCACGCCGCGUGCUGGAAGACGGCCCUAUGGGUUGUAAACAGCUUUUGGUCGGGAAGAACCCCGGAGUUUCGACUCCGGCUGACGGUACCGAUUGAAUAAGCACCGGCUAACUCCGUGCCAGCAGCCGCGGUAAUACGGAGGGUGCAAGCGUUGUCCGGAAUUAUUGGGUGUAAAGGGUGUGCAGGCGGAAGUCUAAGUCGGAGGUGAAAUCUUGCCGCUUAACGGUAAAAGGGCCUUCGAAACUGGAUUUCUUGAGUUCGGAAGAGGUUGGUGGAAUUCGUGGUGUAGCGGUGAAAUGCAUAGAUAUCACGAAGAACACCGGUGGCGAAGGCGGCCAACUGGUCCGAUACUGACGCUGAGACACGAAAGCGUGGGGAGCGAACAGGAUUAGAUACCCUGGUAGUCCACGCUGUAAACGAUGCAUGCUAGUUGUUGUCCCCUUGGGGGCAGUGACGCAGUUAACGCAGUAAGCAUGCCACCUGGGGAGUACGUUCGCAAGAAUGAAACUCAAAGGAAUUGACGGGG